rnacentral:rRNA from 1 species
CACGUAGGGGACGAGCGUUGUCCGGAUUCAUUGGGCGUAAAGGGCGCGUAGGCGGCUUGGUAAGUCCGUUGUGAAAUCCCUCGGCUCAACCGAGGAACUGCGACGGAUACUGCUUGGCUUGAGUCCCGGAGAGGGUAGCGGAAUUCCCAGUGUAGCGGUGAAAUGCGUAGAUAUUGGGAGGAACAUCGGUGGCGAAGGCGGCUACCUGGACGGGUACUGACACUGAUGCGCGAAAGCUAGGGGAGCAAACAGG